UACGUAGGAGGCAAGCGUUGUCCGGAAUUACUGGGCGUAAAGCGCGUGUAGGUGGUGGGACAAGUCUGCUGUGAAAGCGCCUGGCUUAACCGGGCGAGGUCGGCGGAAACUGUCGCACUCGAGGACGGCAGAGGGGGGUAGAAUUCCACGUGUAGCAGUGAAAUGCGUAGAGAUGUGGAGGAAUACCGAUGGCGAAGGCAGCCCCCUGGGCCAAUACUGACGCUCAUGCACGAAAGCGUGGGGAGCAAACAGG
rnacentral:rRNA from 1 species